GCGGACUGGUUAGGUAGGCUUCAGCGAUACCGGUUGGGACUCGGAGGGCGGCAGGAGGACUACGGGAGCCAGGCCUCAGAUCUCUACGGGGGCCUUGCCACAGCGCAGUCCCGCCACGCGAUCUCGGCCUAGGAGUGACACUAGUAGAGCCCAGUUCUUUUAGGAAUGCCAUGCUCCAUAUCACUCAGGAUUAAGAAUCUUCGGGAGUGCUAAGGAAUGUUACAUCUUGCCUUUGGGCACCCCAUCCCGAAUGUCCUGAUCCCCGAAGCUCAUAGCCGCAUCUAGCCUGAGAUGGAUGAGAAUGUUGCCGAGUUUCUCCGGAGGAUCAUCCUGAAAAUCCCUCUGUGUGAGAUGAAGACCAUCCUAGAAGCCUGGGACUUUUUGUCUGAAGACCAACUGCAGAGCAUAAACUUGAAGCAGAGAAAGGAAUUUCUGGCCCAGGAAGUGAUUCUGCUAUGUGAGGACAAGUGUGCAAGUCUUGAUGACAUGGCCCUUUUAGACCUCAUGUAUACUCAAUUUCAUCGGCACCAGAAGCUUUGGAAUGUCUUUCAGAUGAGUAAAGAACCAGGUGGAAAUGAUGUGGACCUUUUUGAUAUGGAACAGUUCCAAAGUUCAUUUAAGAGAAUUCUUCAGAGAGCA
rnacentral:lncRNA from 1 species